rnacentral:piRNA from 1 species
AUGAAGAGAUUCUGCCCUCUCUGGGGAUAGU